CCCUUAGAUGUUCUGGGCCGCACGCGCGCUACACUGACGGAUUCAACGAGCUUACAACCUUGGCCGAAAGGUCUGGGUAAUCUCCAAAAUCCGUCGUGAUGGGGAUAGAUUAUUGCAAUUAUUAAUCUUCAACGAGGAAUGCCUAGUAAGCGCAAGUCAUCAGCUUGCGUUGAUUACGUCCCUGCCCUUUGUACACACCGCCCGUCGCUCCUACCGAUUGAAUGGUCCGGUGAAGCGUUUGGACUAUGGUUUUCUGAUGGUCCGCCGUUGGAUUACCGUGGGAAGUUCGUUAAACCUUAUCAUUUAGGGGAAGGAGAAGUCGUAACA
rnacentral:rRNA from 1 species